ensembl:rRNA 5S_rRNA 5S ribosomal RNA
CUCCCUACCACCCUGAACACCUGAACACACCCAGUCUCGUCUGAUCUCAGAAGCUAAGCAGGGUCGGGCCUGGUUAGUACUUGGAUUGGAGAUAUGAGUUGCACGCAUCUUUACUCACUGUGAGAGUUGGAAGAGU